rnacentral:lncRNA from 12 species
AGCCGCGGGAAGCGAGCGCCUGUCGCCUCCUGCAGCCACCGGGGCACGGAGGGAAGUGGGGUUUGGGCCACCUGCUGCCCUCGGAAUCGCAGAAUUACAGAGGUUGGCAAAGCCCUCCAGGAUCAUCGAGUCCAGGCUGUGGCCGAUGCCCACCUUGUCCCCAGCCCAGAGCACUGAGUGCCACCUCCAGCCCUUCCUUGGACACCUCCAGGGAUGGGCACUCCAAACCUCCCUGGGCAGCCCCUGCCAAGGCCUGAGCACCCUUUCCAUGCAGAAAUUCCUCCUGGUAGCCAAGCUCCAGGACAGGGACAUGAAGUCUCCCCAGGUCGGGUCAUCUGGCCCAGCAGCCCGUGGUAUUUCCAUGGAGCUUUCUGUCCCACUCCAUUCUCCUUCCCACACUGAUCACAAUUACCCUGGCAGGGAGAGAGCCCUGUCUAUAAAUCUCUAAAUCAGUCUUUAUAACUCUUUAAAUCCCCAUUGUACAAGGCUCUUCACACUCUAAGCUGAGAACAGUAACUUUAUGGGAAUUAGCAGUGUUAAUGUUUUGCAGGAAAAUGACCUUUAAGGGCUCAAAAUAAAGUGGAACAUCGGGUGGAGGGAUUUCCCAGGCUGCUGCAGCCUCCAGCCUUUGCAAAUGCUCUAUUAUAUAAUUCCUUUCAGAAACGUAUCAAGUUGCAUCUUGAGAUGUUUUGCCAUCACUAUUCCCACUGAGAAGCUGUUCCCAGAACCUUCUCCUGGUUUUCAGGCUAAAUAUAUUCGGGACUGGUCUGCAUCCAUUUAUCCUUGUGCUAACACCGGCCUCAAAGAGCACUUUGUGCUCUCUCAGCCCCCUGGAUUUCCACACUCCCCCUUUCCUCCAGCUGCAAACCCAAAACUGAUAAAACUGUGGCUGCCCCUGGAAGUGUCCAAGGCCAGACUGGAGCAAGCUGGGAUACAGUGGAAGGUGUCCCUGCCCGUGGCACAGAGUGGAAGGAGCUGGGUUUUGGUUCAUUCUGCUUGUGUUCCCGCCUUCUGGAUCUCUCUUCAGGCAGUCCAUUUCACUGGAGCUGUGAAUGGAAAGCCUGUGUGAACUCUGGGAAGGAAGUCACUCACAAUCCUGAUCACAAUCCCCCAAUAUUUGGAUUAAUUAAUUAAUCAAUCACAGCUUCUGCAUUGCCACGACCCUGGUUGGCUUCUGGAAAAUUGCACUUCCCCACAUCUUUUAAAAGUAUUUUUCAAAGGGAUUUUUUUCAGAGGUUGCCACCACAGCAGUGACAAAACGUAAGUUUGGAGCUGCUUUUCCUCCUGUGUGUGUGUGUGUUUGCAUUUCUCCUUAAUUGCAGCAGAACAGAUGUCACUUUUUUCUUCAGGAGUGGGAAGAAAACCAGAAGGGUCCUAUAUGUUUUCCUCCAGGAAUGAAGGAACACAAUGGUCCACGUGAGCUGGAAAACAAAAACCUCUAGAAGAUUAUAAUCUUUUUUUACCACCAAAGCCUGAAAGGGAGGACUUGCCUGAUCAAAUCGAAACUGUUUCUUCAGUGAAGGAAUUCCUGCUGAGGUCCCGCCUGAACCUCCCCUGGCACAGACCGAGGCCAUUUCCUCUUGUUCUGUCGCUGGAAAAUCUUGGCUCGAGAGCAGAGGGGCUGAAGAGAAAUUGCCAAAACUCUGAGUUAAUUAUGGCUGUUAGAUCCUGUCGUUCUCACCUUUUUCCUGGACAUUCUAAAUAUGUUAGAUAUGUUUUAUAUCAGUUAUGUAUACAUAAGUUACAUCUUUAUCUAUAUAUGUGUGUAUAUAUGCAUGGUUUAUAUGCAUAUGAAUGUAAUAUAGUGUAUUUUAUGUAUUAUAUGUAUUAUUUUUU